GGAAGGGAGGUGACUUUGGAAGGAGAAUAAUAAACAUAGAUCCAUAGAAACGGGGAAGGGACAUUCUAGACCUGAGCUUCUCAAUUGGGGAUACCUGGGAAGCCACACCUAAUAGAUCAGAAUCUCCUAGGACAGGUCCCAGGCAUAUGCACUUUGAGAAAGCGCCACAGCACAAACUGCUUUUCCAGGCAGGAGACAUGAAUGGCGCAUACAGAUUUAUCAACUAUGACUUGACUGUAUUAGAAGAUGCAUUCAGGACUUCCCUGGUGGCGCAGUGGUUAAGAAUCUGCCUGCCAAUGCAGGGGACACGGGUUCGAGCCCUGGUCCGGGAGGAUCCCACAUGCCGCGGAGCAACGAAGCCCGUGCACCACAACUACUGAGCCUGCGCUCUAGAGCCCACGAGCCACAACUGUUGAGCCCGUGCACCACAACUACUGAAGCCCGUGCGCCUAGAGCACAUGCUCCGCAGAGAGAAGCCACCACAAUGAGAAGCCCAUGCACCGCAACGAAGAGUAGUAGCCUCCGCUCGCCACAACUAGAGAAAGCCCGCGCGCGCAGCAACGAAGACCCAAGGCAGCCAAAAAUUAAUUAAUUAAUUAAUUAAUUAAUUUAAAAAAAAGAAGAUGCAUUCAUUCCUUGAACAAGUAUACUGAGGCCCACCAAGUACAUGACGUUAUUAGGUUCCAGGGAUACAAAGUUUUUGUUCCUUAUGGAGCAUGCAUAUUAGUGGAUAAGCGAGGAAACAUCCUAUCACAAAACUUCCUGAAUGCUAAGAAGGAAGAGACACCCAGGACCACAGCUGGAAGACCCUCCAUCUCUUGGCUCAGCUCUUGAUGCUCACGUAGAAAUGAACAUCAUUCAAUGAAUGACAAAUGUAUCUACAAAAUGCCGUAAGACGCAGGGUAAUGGUCACAUACCAGCACUGAGCUCCUGCCUGAAUUAUAAAACACAAAGAUUUUUGGAACAACAAAAAAAAAACCUCAUGACACUUGACAACUCCAGAGGCCAGGCCUGAAACUCCAAGCCUGUCCCUACCUCCCAUCUGGAUGGACCCGCAGAAGGAACAAGCAGCUAUGAAGGUGCCCAUGAGGCAACUCAUAAAACAAUCUACUCUCUCUCCAGUCCUCAUCGUCUCCUCCCCCAAUCCAACAAAUGACCUACCACCACAGGGAUAAAGAUCUUAUGGCUUCACUUCAGGCUAAUGCUUCCAAGGCACAGACAUUUGACUAGCAACCAUUUUCGAAUUAUUUCUCUUUCGCUUUGCACACAAAGUUAGGUGGUAAUUGUCUGCCGGUUUAGAAACACCACCGACCACCACACCAGAACGAAUUUCCAAAAGCUAUAUUGCAGGGAAUUAGGUUAAGGCACAGAUCAACCUUUGCCAACUCUACACAUAAGUUCAAAAAUGAGCCAACCACAAUAAAAAUAUACUGACUGUACUACUAAU